UGGAAAGUUCAUUGUUCGACACCAUGGAUCUCCAGGUGGGUCAAGUUUAGAGAUGCACCAACCUGGAGGACUCCAUGCUGUUGAGCUGUUCACAC
rnacentral:pre_miRNA from 1 species